rnacentral:sRNA from 1 species
GUCCUACAACAAAAUGGAGGACCCAUCUGAAAGGUGAAGUCUGUAGUUUUUAUAACCAGCACCAAUCAGUGUGAAGGACGUCGUCGCCAUCCCAAAAUGCGCUUAGACCUUUGCAGUGGACAGCUGCAUGCUCUCCCCAGCUGCUCACCCUACGGAUUCGCUAUAUUUUCCUUCAUAGACUCUCAUGUAAAUAGCAUGUCACUUGCACUCUUGGUGUCUGAAUGGUUUUAUGAACUAUGCCAAUUUUACCAUUUUCCAGGCCAUCGUAUACGCAGGAAGCUUGGCUUCUUGUCUUACUCUCUUUUCUCUUUUGUCCUGUAAUCUAUAUUUACUACAAUUUGUUUAGGCAUCCACCUGUUGAAGACCAGGAACGUUGGUUGAGGCUACCCUGACCAAGGCCACUGUAAGCAUUUAUAUGCAAAUCCUGGGUUGGGCACAUGUUCGAGGAGAUGAGCAUGCCAUCAUUACCACUUCCCGCCGUGGCUAUAAAAGCCUUGUUUCUGUUUCUAAGAUGCAUUAUGCGCUCAGUCUCUGGAAUAUGACCCCACGUCAUCUGUUUGGCCACUGUGUUACUGGUUACCCAGGACACUGAGGUGUUGAAAUAUUUCAGGUGGCUGUUUUUAGCACUUUCUACACUUCCCUUUUCUCUGCCUGUGAGCUGACUAGAAAUGAGCAAGCGUGGAUAGAAAUGCAAAGCAUAUACAGAAUUUCUUUGAAGAUCUGAUCUAAUGUCUUCCACGGGAAGAUUCCUUCCCUCCUUUGGUGUUGCAUCUGUCCUCCUGAGUGAAGGAGCCCACAGAACCUGGAGGACGUAUUGGAUCCCUUGGAGAUAUGCUUAUAGACAAUUGUCAGCUACCUACCAUGGGUACUGGUAGUGAAACUCAGCCCCUCUUAAGAACAGAUACUAUGAAGACUCUUCCAGGAAAAUUCUUUGUGACAUGAUGAAUGUUCAGCUAUGAAGGAAGGAAUGCUGGACCACAGAAGAGCAAUGGCUUCUCAAUAAUCUUUAUGUUUACCCAUAGUCAUAAAAUUUUGUCUUGUAUGCAUUUGAACAUCAAUAAUCAAUAAAUGUCAAGAACAAAACAAAAAUCAUAUAUUUUGGCAUAGUCUGUCAGUGUCUCUCUCAGAACUGUCAUACCUCUUCCCUAAUUGCUGGGUUUGCAGUUGAAGAAGGACUCAUACUUAAAUCACUCAGUAAAUGGAGGAGCUAUCUCAUGAAGAGGAGCCGAGGGUAUCCCACAGUUGUGAAACUCCAUGAGAUGGAUGCAGCCUCCAUUGAUCCGACUUGGCCAGCCUACGGACAGAUGUGCCAAAACCAAUAUGAACUUACCUUUUCUGCUU